rnacentral:lncRNA from 1 species
AAAAAAAAAAAAAACACUAACAAUUUUCAUAUCGAAUUCGAAGUGCCAUGCUAUUAUUACUUAAUAUUAAGAAUUCAUAUGGCGAAGGCAUAGUCUUCUUUUUUCUCUCAAAUAAAAAACUCAUUGGCGCCAAGCGUGAGGGAAUGCUAGACGUUUGGUACUUGCUCCGGCGGCCAGGAGAAAAGACCCCAUGGAGGCGGCCAAUCCCAUGCAUAUUGUCUGUACAUCGGGUCGCACAAAUUGCAUAGUAUCAUAAAUUGCUAUCCCGGGUAUUACCCAUCCGCCAGGAGAGUUGAUAAAUAAAUACAAAUCCUUGGUCUCGUUCUCUAUACUGAGAUAUACCAUAAUACCAAUAAGUUGAUUCGAGAUAUCGCUCUCAACCAUUUGACCUAAAAAAAGUAAUCUUUCUCGAUAAAGUCGGUUGAUUAGGAUAAAACAGUAUCCUUUCGGAGCCGUACAGGCAUCUUUUGAUGCAUACGGUUCAACAAAACUUGCGAAAAACAAAUCAAUGUGUAGCUCCUAGCCCCUUUCCUUUCUUUUUUCCUCGCUUCUAUCGAGGGGCUUUUCUUCCGGUUUUCAAGAACGCUGAGUUUAGCCGGUUUCCUAGACCUAUAAUAUUCUAAUAUAAAAAAGAAAUUCACUAAACUUAUCGACUUAUCGAACUAACUUUUCAUUGAUGUAUUUUUUCAUCGAGAUCCGAUCCAAAAAUCACGAUGCCAUUUUCUUGUUCCUGAAUUGAAUGGGCUUCUUCCAUUUUUUUAGGUUUAGGCUCUACUCCGAGUAAGGAUUCGCCCGAUUUUGAUUUGCACAUAUAAGACAAAUGACCCCAAUACCACGUCUCUUUUUUGCUAUGACUUACCCCUUUUUUAAUUCAUUUCUUUCAUGUCUUCCGCCAAAUAUUUGACAUAUUCAUCAUAUUUAGCAUUCCGUUGAUUAACGUUUGAGAUCGCUUUUCGAAUAAAGGAAUCGUUUAUGAUAUAAGUAAUAAUCAUAGAUAUAUUACCAAUUGGGUUUUUCUAAACGGAGCCUGGAUACCUCAUUUUAUUGGUCCAGCCAAGACGACCAUAAAAUUGAUUUAUUGCUAAUAUUAAUCUGGAUGCUUCCUCACGAAAUAGAUCUAAUUGCACUUCAUUGCAUUUCACGCUACAAAUUUUUGAUAAUUCAAUCAAUUUUUUGGGCGAAACAGAGGAUAUCUCGAUCGGGGGAGAGAACGGGGAAAUCCCAUAUGACCCAAUAGAUCUGACAAGUCGCACUAUAUGUCAACCCAAGAUGGAUGCUUGUCCCCGGGACUUCGAUAAGGUACUUUUGGAACACCAAUAGGCAUAAAAUGAAAGAAAAAAGAAUUAAGUACUCUAGUUCACUUUGAUGUGGAAGCGUAAUAAUGGGCUUCUUGUCUUAAUACUAGUGGCCGUUAUCUUAGUUUAUACAUAGAUUGACGAAGUUCAUAAAAUAAAGGAAAAUUAUUACGAAUAAGUCUUUUGAAUGAUGACCAAAUAUGGAUACAUUCGCUCAUAGAAAAGGGAAUCAACCCCCAUUGCGUAUUGGUACUUAUCGAGUAUAGAAUAGAUCUGCUUCUCUUUUUUCCUACGAACCGAACUCUUCCAUUAUUACUAAAAGAAUAGAACAAAUAUUAAUAUUAAUCCCUUUUUCGAGAUAAUCCCCUGAAAAAAGGGGUACAUAGCAUAGUUUUUUUCAAUGCAAUAAAGUUACAUAGUGUCUAUUUUUUAUUAAUAAAGGGGUAGUCCAUGGGUUUGCCUUGGUAUCGUGUUCAUACCGUCGUAUUGAAUGAUCCCGGUCGUUUGAUUGCUGUCCAUAUAAUGCAUACAGCCCUGGUUGCGGGUUGGGCCGGUUCAAUGGCUCUAUAUGAAUUAGCUGUUUUUGAUCCUCCGAUCCAGUUCUUGAUCCAAUGUGGAGACAAGGCAUGUUCGUUAUACCCUUCAUGACUCGUUUAGGAAUAACCGAUUCAUGGGGUGGUUGGAGUAUUACAGGGGGGACAGUAACGAAUCCGGGUAUUUGGAGUUACGAAGGUGUAGCGGGGGCACAUAUUGUGUUUUCCGGAUUGUGCUUCUUGGCAGCUAUCUGGCAUUGGGUGUAUUGGGAUCUAGCAAUAUUUGUUGAUGACCGUACAGGAAAACGUUCUUUGGAUUUGCCUAAAAUCUUUGGAAUUCAUUUAUUUCUCUCAGGAGUGGCUUGCUUUGGUUUUGGGACAUUUCAUGUAACAGGAUUGUAUGGUCCUGGAAUAUGGGUGUCUGAUCCGUAUGGACUAACUGGAAAGGUACAAUCUGUAAAUCCAGCAUGGGGUGUGGAAGGUUUUGAUCCUUUUGUUCCAGGAGGAAUAGCCUCUCAUCAUAUUGCGGCAGGGACAUUGGGCAUAUUAGCAGGCUUAUUCCAUCUCAGUGUCCGCCCGCCACAACGCUUAUACAAAGGAUUACGUAUGGGCAAUAUUGAAACCGUUCUUUCCAGCAGCAUCGCUGCUGUCUUUUUUGCAGCGUUUGUUGUUGCUGGAACUAUGUGGUAUGGGUCAGCAACUACCCCCAUCGAAUUAUUUGGUCCACCCGUUAUCAAUGGGAUCAGGGAUACUUUCAGCAAGAAAUAUAUCGAAGAGUCAGUGCUGGACUAGCCGAAAAUCAAAGUUUAUCAGAAGCUUGGUCUAAAAUUCCUGAAAAAUUAGCUUUUUAUGAUUACAUCGGAAAUAAUCCUGCGAAAGGGGGAUUAUUCAGAGCGGGUUCAAUGGAUAACGGGGAUGGAAUAGCUGUCGGGUGGUUAGGACACCCUAUAUUUAGAGAUAAAGAAGGGCGUGAACUUUUUGUACGUCGUAUGCCUACUUUUUUUGAAACAUUUCCAGUUGUUUUGGUAGACGGAGAUGGAAUUGUUAGAGCCGACGUUCCUUUUCGAAGGGCAGAAUCGAAGUAUAGUGUCGAACAAGUAGGUGUAACCGUUGAGUUCUAUGGUGGCGAGCUGAAUGGCGUGAGUUAUAGUGAUCCUGCUACUGUGAAAAAAUAUGCUAGACGUGCUCAAUUGGGUGAAAUUUUUGAAUUAGAUCGUGCUACUUUGAAAUCCGAUGGUGUUUUUCGUAGCAGCCCAAGGGGCUGGUUUACGUUUGGACACGCUUCAUUUGCUCUGCUUUUCUUCUUCGGACACAUUUGGCAUGGUGCUAGAACCUUGUUCAGAGAUGUUUUUGCUGGUAUUGACCCGGAUUUGGACGCUCAAGUGGAAUUUGGAGUAUUCCAAAAACUUGGAGAUCCAACUACAAGAAGACAAGUAGUCUGAUGCAGCAUUGCUCUACUAUUUUAGUUUCUCACUUCUGCUUCUAUUUUCGAUUUGUGCUUUUUAUUUAAAAUAAGGUAUAAGGUACUGGAGAAAUAUGGAUUUAAAUCGCCGCCCUUUUUGAUUCUUUUUUUCUUUAAUCCGGGGGAUGAUCCAAAUAAACAGGUAUGGAAGCUAUAAUUGGAAACCACGAUCGAAUUUAUGGAAGCAUUGGUUUAUACAUUCCUCUUAGUCUCGACUCUAGGGAUCAUUUUUUUCGCUAUCUUUUUUCGAGAACCGCCUAAAGUUCCAACUAAAAAAACAAAAUGAUUUUUUUUUAUCUCAAUUGAAGUAAUGGGCCUCCCAAUAUUGGGAGGCCCAUUACUUCUACUUCAACUAGUCCCCGUGUUCCUCGAAUGGAUCUCUUAGUUGUUGAGAGGGUUGCCCAAAAGCAGUAUAUAAGGCGUACCCAGUAAAACUUACAAGUAACCCAGAUAUAGAGAUGGCGACUAGGGUUGCUGUUUCCAUUAUUAUAGAAUUUCAAGACCACACUGGAUCCAUGAUAAGAUCGUUUAUUUACAACGGAAUGGUAUACAAAGUCAACAGAUCUCAAUCAAUACAAAAUAGGAUUUAUGGCUACACAAACAGUUGAGGGUAGUUCUAGAGCUCGUCCAAAAAGAACUUCUGCAGGGGGGUUGUUGAAACCCUUGAAUUCGGAAUAUGGUAAAGUAGCUCCUGGAUGGGGAACUACUCCUUUGAUGGGAGUCGCAAUGGCUUUAUUUGCGGUAUUCCUAUCUAUUAUUUUGGAGAUUUAUAAUUCGUCCGUUUUACUGGACGGAAUUUCACUGAAUUAGAAUGAAAUUUACAAGAAUCACAAAAUACUACCUUUUAAAUAAGCAUUUAGGUAUCGGAUUUUGAUUUUCGUUGAUUGGUAGUUCGACCGCGAAUUUUUUAUUUCUGUAUUUCCGGAAUAUGAGUGUGCGACUUGUUCGAAUUGAUCCUAUUGAUAGUACAGAGCAUAGAUCUGUCGUCUUGAUCGAGAUGGCUUUACUCCGUCGGAUAUUCAUUCGAGUAUCUGGAGCACGGAAUAUAUGAAAUAGAUCACGAAGUAUUCGAACUAUGAUUCAUACUUAAUAUUCAGACCCCUUGGCCGGAUUCAAAAAAUUUUUCCAAAGACAAAAUUUGCAAUUGCAAGAUUUUUCUUCUUUCAAAUUCCCCAUUUCUGCUUUUAUUUUACUCAAAGCACAAAUUUGAAUAAAUGAUGAUCCAAGGAUUCUUACUCAUGGAAUCUUUGGACUUAGUUUGAAGGUUUUAUUGAAUCAUCGUGGUUCUAGUAUGAAUCUGAGGUUUCAAUUGAUUCAUAGGGUCUUAACAAGAAAAUUCCUAGCAAUAAUAAAGAAAACAAAAGUCAAGCUGCAUUACAUACAACUCAAAAUAACAAAUCAAAGAAAAUGAAAUAGGUAAAUAGAAGAUUCAAGAGGCCUGUAACGAUCAACAUAAAGAUAAGCGCGUCGACUUGAUUUUUUGGCAUUCUAAUUAUAACCACAAAGAAAAGCUUUCUUAUUUUUAUUCUUUCGUAUUUUUAGAUAAGAUUGAAUCAAAAAAUUAAGAAGUUUCCAAUUUUCUAUUCCAUACCAGUAUUGGGGUGGUUUUGUUUGAGCCGUACGAGAUGAAAUUCUCAUAUACGGUUCUCAGAGGGGAGUUCUCUUGGUUUACCUAUCUCAAUAAAGUCUACGAUUGGUUCGAAGAACGUCUCGAGAUUCAGGCGAUUGCAGAUGAUAUAACUAGUAAAUACGUUCCUCCUCAUGUCAACAUAUUUUAUUGUCUGGGAGGAAUUACGCUCACUUGUUUUUUAGUACAAGUAGCUACAGGGUUUGCUAUGACUUUUUACUACCGCCCGACCGUUACUGAGGCUUUUGCCUCUGUUCAAUACAUAAUGACGGAAGUUAACUUCGGGUGGUUAAUUCGAUCGGUUCAUCGAUGGUCGGCAAGUAUGAUGGUCCUAAUGACAAUCCUGCACGUAUUUCGCGUGUAUCUCACCGGGGGUUUUAAAAAACCUCGCGAAUUGACUUGGGUUACAGGUGUGGUUCUGGCUGUAUUGACCGCAUCUUUUGGUGUAACAGGUUAUUCUUUACCUUGGGACCAAAUUGGAUAUUGGGCAGUAAAAAUUGUAACAGGCGUGCCCGAAGCAAUUCCGGUAAUAGGAUCGCCUUUGGUAGAGUUAUUACGCGGAAGUGCUAGUGUGGGACAGUCCACUUUGACUCGGUUUUAUAGUUUACACACUUUUGUAUUACCUCUUCUUACUGCCGUAUUUAUGUUAAUGCAUUUCCUAAUGAUACGUAAACAAGGUAUUUCUGGCCCUUUAUAAAAUUAUACAAAAUCUAGAUUAUAGCGAUUUGUAAUCAACCCUUUAUCUUAUUGCUUGGGGGAGGAACAAUAAUAUUUCAUUGCUACAAAUAUGGAUUAUUGACAAAGAAUAAGACAUGGAGUUGGAAAUUUCCCCUCAACUCCAUAAUAUUGGACUUUUUAUUUGACAUGAAUGAAAUGAAUAGUUGACGGGAAUUCUCCGAAGAGAAAAUGGAUUAUGGGAGUGUGUGACUUGAACUAUUGAUUGGGCCGUGCAGAAAUAUGUCUUUAAUCUGCUACAUUGGAAUUCGCGACCAAAUGUGUCUUUGUUCCAACCGGCACCCCAUAGAGAGGAUAGGUUGGUUCGAUUGAAAAGAAUCUUUUCUAUGAUCAGCCCCAAGCAUGCCGCGCAUGAGCAGGCUCCGUAAGAUCCAGUAGAAUAAGCGAUGUGGCAUAAUCUAGAUUAUGUUUUCGCUAGAUUCUAGAUUACUUACUUAAUAGUAUGGAAAUGCAUUCAUUUCUUCUGCACCGAUCCCGAUUUAUGAUACUAUCGGAGUGAAACAAGGGGUCUAAAGAAGAGCAGCGGCUAGACUAUAUUAGUAACAAGUAAAUCCUUUGUACGCGAAAAAGAAAAAUCUCAGCUCGAUCUUUUUUUUUUUUUGUUUUUGGAUAAGGGUGAAUCACAAGGGCUGAGACGACCCAGAAAGCUCUUGAUCAUGAUCAAUUUUGUAAGCCUACUUGGGUAUGGAGCAUACACCUGUAAGAACCGAAUUCCUUGCAAUUGAUAGUUGAAACUUCGUAAAACGGAAUCCGGUAAUUUUACAUAUAGAAUCAUCCCGAUAUGCGUAAAAUAUAGAUUUUCGAAAAUCUAUAUUUCUUUUUUUAUCUAUUUCUUUUUUUAUAUGUAUCCUUUUAGUUUGGUUGAUUCUUGCUCGAGCCGGAUGAUGAAAAAUUAUCAUGUCCGGUUCUUUGGGGGGAUGGAUCUAUAAGAAUUCGCCUAUCCCAAUAACAAAAAAACCUGACUUGAAUGAUCCUGUAUUAAGGGCUAAGUUGGCUAAGGGUAUGGGUCAUAAUUAUUAUGGAGAACCCGCAUGGCCCAACGAUCUUUUAUAUAUUUUUCCAGUAGUAAUUCUAGGUACUAUUGCAUGUACCGUAGGCUUAGCGGUUCUAGAACCAUCAAUGAUUGGUGAACCCGCGGAUCCAUUUGCAACUCCUUUGGAAAUCUUACCCGAAUGGUAUUUCUUUCCCGUAUUUCAAAUACUUCGUACAGUACCCAAUAAGCUGUUGGGUGUUCUUUUAAUGGUUUCAGUACCUACGGGAUUAUUAACAGUACCUUUUUUGGAAAAUGUUAAUAAAUUCCAAAAUCCAUUUCGCCGUCCCGUAGCGACAACCGUCUUUUUGAUUGGGACCGCAGUGGCCUUGUGCUUGGGUAUUGGAGCAACAUUACCUAUUGAAAAAUCCCUAACUUUAGGUCUUUUUUAAAUUGAUUCAAUUGUAAAAUAUCAUGACGUGUGUAUCUAGGGAGUAGUCACUUCAAAGUAAAAGUGAAUUCUCCCUAGAUACUUCUAUUCAAUUUAAUUCCGGUCUGAAUAUAUAGACGGGUCUAAAGGUGCAAAGCCAUUUCAAUUUUCUCGUUUUUUUUUUUUUCGGUAAAUCAAUUGUGAAAUGCUUUUCUAUUUCUUUUCUAGAAUACUCAUUAUCUGCUUUACAUCCUCUAUGCGAAAGUGUUCAAUUUUCAUAAGGUCUUCUUGACGCGUAUUCAAAAGGUCGAAUAAUGUAUGUAUAUUGGACUUUUUGAGACAAUUAUAGAUCCUGGGAGACAUUUCUGAUUGGUCAAUAAAAAUCGAUUUCAAUGCGAUUUCUUUUUUCUUUUUCGUUAGUUUAGCCAAUCUAUCAUGAAAAGUAAAAAAGGGUAAAGUAACCUUGUAUUGAUUGUUCUCUAAAGGUAAGUUUUCGUCUUCUGCCUGGAGAAAGGGAAUAAAUAAAUCAAUCAAACUCCGGGAGGCUUCAUGAAGUGCUUCUUUAGGAGUUAAACUUCCGUUUGUCCAUAUUUCUAGAAAAAGGAUCUCUUGUUUUUCAUUGCCAUUCCCAUAAGACUGAAUACUAUGAUUCGCAUUUCGAACAGGCAUGAAUACAGCAUCGAUAGGAUAACAAUUUCCGUCUUGAAAGGUAUUUGGCGUUUUUAUAUUAUAUCCUCGACUCCUCUCGAUUUGUAAUCCAAUAGACAAAUCAAUUGGUUCUGUUAGGCUAGCUAUGUGCUGCGUAUUAUCAACGAUUUCCACAGAAGGCGGCAAGAGGAUGUCUUGAGCAGUUACAUAUCCCGGGCCUUUGACACAAAUAAGCGCGUCACAAGUUCCAUAAAGAUUACUUCUCAAUACAAUAUCUUUCAAAUUCAUUAAAAUUUCAUGUACCGAUUCUUGAAUACCCACUAUGGUAGAAUAUUCGUGUGGAAUUUUUUCAGAUUUUGCGCGUGUAAUACAUGUUCCUUCUAUUUCUCCAAGCAAAACUCUUCGCAUCGCAAUGCCUAUUGUGUCGGCUUGACCUUUCAUAAGUGGAGACAAAAUAAAGCGCCCAUAAUAAAGACGCUUACUGUCUGCUCUUGAUUCAACACACUUCCACUGUAGUGUCCGAGUAGAUACUUUUACUUUCUCUCGAACCAUAGUAAUAUUAUUUGUCAGAUCAUUGAGUCAUUUAUUUCUCUUGAAAUCUCUUCAAUGUUUAUUUCUACACCCGUCUUUUUUUAGGGGGUCUGCAACCAUUGUGUGGCAUAGGGGUUACAUCCCGUACGAAAUUUAAAAGGAUACCGCUUCUACGAAUAGCUCGUAAUGCCGCAUCUCUUCCGAGACCAGGACCCUUUAUCAUGACUUCUGCUCGUUGCAUACCUUGAUCCGCUACUGCUCGAAUAGCAUUUCCUGCUGCGGUUUGAGCAGCAAAAGGCGUACCUCUUCUUGUACCCCUGAAUCCACAAGUACCGGCCGAGGACCAAGAAAUUACCCGACCCCGGACAUCUGUAACAGUCACAAUGGUGUUGUUGAAACUUGCUUGAACAUGAAUAACGCCCUUUGGUAUUCGACGUCCACUUUUACGUGAACCGAUCCGUCCCGGCCUACGUGAACCACUUCGUGGUGGAGAUUUUGCCAUAUUUGAUCAUUUCAUAAAUAUAAGUCAGAGAUAUAUGGAUAUAUCCAUUUCAUGUCAAAACCGAUCUUUUAUGUUGAUUUGUUCAUCGGUUACUUUCUAAACUUUUCGAAAGAUUAUCCUUGUCUUUGUUUAUGUCUCGGGUUGGAACAAAUUACUAUAAUCCGUCCCCUCCUGCGGAUCAGUCGACAUUUUUCACAAAUUUUACGAACUGAAGCCCUUAUUUUCAUAAUUGUUAUUCCUUAAAUGAAUUUCGAAUCUCCUUAUUGGAAGUUGGAAGAAAAUAAGUUUCUUGAAAUUUUUGAACCGCGAUUUGUAUCCCCCUGAAAGGAAUGUUGAAAAAUCACCUAAUCACUCAAAUCCUUUUGUGUAGUCUAUAUAUUAUUAUUAUAUCCUCCAGUUGAAUCUGAAUCAUAACGACUUCCUUCAAUUUUGCCUCUAGCCACCGGGAGUAGAUGUAGAAAAACGGGUCGCAUCCCUCCUGAAACAUAAUCUAGAAUCUUACUUCGCUCUCUAAACUAUCUAAAAGAACCCGGAGCAUACCUUUGGUAAGUUAUUCGGUAAUUAAACCUCGAGGAAUCCUCCCUUUUUUUUUCUCACAACAUAAAAGUAAGCUCCAAAUACAAUUCGGAUAGCAGAAUAAUUACCAUAUAUAACACAAAAUUUCUCCACCGAUUCUUUCCAGUCGAGCCGCUCGGUCUGUCAUUAUACCCCGAGAAGUAGAGAGAAUUACAAUCCCCAUCCCAUCUAAAAUUCUAGGAAUUCGUCGAUAGUUAAAAUAGAUUCGUAGACCGGGUCGACUGAUUCGUUUUAAAUUUAAAAUGGGUCUAUACGGCCCUUUCCUAUUCCUUCGAUGUCGUAGGGUUAAAACCAAAAACUCUUUUUUGUUUUUGUUUUCCACGAGUUUCCUUGCGUUUUCGAUAAAACCCUCUCGCAAAAGGAUUUUAACAACGUUUUCGGUGAUGUUAGUAGAUGCUAUUCGAACCGUUCCCUUUCUAUUCAUGUCAGCAUUUCGUAUAGAAGUUAUUAUGUCAGCAAUAGUGUCCUUGCCCAUGAUAAACUGAAAAUUUUGUUGCUUCCAAAUUUUGAUAUAAUCAACAUGUUCUUUUUUUUAUGAAAAUUAUUAAAAGUAUAUGCGUGAGACAUACUCUACUAAAUUUUGAUUUAUCUAUUUUAUUUUCAUACUAUCACUAUAUCGCGGUCCCCUCUUAUAAUACUUCAGGUGCUAAUGAAACUAUUUUAGUAAAAUUCAACUGUCUCAAUUCCCGGGCGAUCGCACCAAAAACUCGAGUUCCCUUUGGAUUUCCUUCGUGAUCAAUGACAACUGCAGCAUUGUCAUCGUACCGUAUUAUCAUACCGUUAUCACGUCUGAGUUCUUUACAAGUACGUACAAUUACAGCUCUGAUCACUUCUGAUCUUUCUAGAGGCGUAUUGGGUACUGCUUCCUUGAUCACAGCAACAAUAACGUCACCAAUAUGAGCAUAUCUACGAUUACUGGCUCCUAUGAUUCGAAUACACAUCAAUUCUCGGGCACCGCUAUUGUCUGCUACAUUCAAAUGGGUUUGAGGUUGAAUCAUAUCGUUUUUUGAGUCCGUUUUUUUAAUGUUUAAUUUAAAGUAAAGCACUGAAAGGACGAAGUAAAAAAAAAAAGGGAAGACCCGCAUUUUUUAUACCCAAGAUUUAUUUCCUUUGUUUCGACAUUCCUAUCCCGAAAUAAUGAAUUGAGUUCUUAUAGGCAUUUUGGACGCCGCUAUUGAAAUAGCCUUUCGAGCUAUAUUUUCAGCUACUCCACUCAUUUCAUAAAGUAUUCUACCCGGUUUAACGACGGCUACCCAAUAUUCGGGGGAUCCUUUACCGGACCCCAUACGGGUUUCCGUGGGUCUUAGUGUAACGGGUUUGUCUGGAAAGAUACGUACCCAUAUUUUUCCACCGCGCCGUACAUUUCGUGUCAUUGCGCGGCGCCCCGCUUCGAUUUGUCUAGAUGUGAUCCAAGCGGGUUCAAGUGCUUGAAGAGCAUAUCUGCCGAAACAAAUAUGAUUACCUCGAUAAGAUAUCCCUUUCAUUCUUCCUCUAUGUUGUUUACGGAAUCUUGUUCUUUUGGGGUUAUAAUUGAUGGUUCUUUCUCAAUGCCAUCUCUACUACAGAACUGGACAUGAGAGUUUCUUCUCAUCCAGCUCCUCGCGAAUGAAAGGACUAAAAACGAUUUUAUCAAGAUAUAGGGGAAUUUAAUGAAUAAUAUACUGAAGCAUAGGAUUUUUUGAAAGUUCAUCUAAUUAAUCUAUUCUAAAUUUGUAUAUCAUGUUUAGAUAUAGAAUUGAAACAUUUAUGUUCUAUUUAUAGAUAAUCUCAAUGUCUUUUUUUUUUUUUUAUCGUUAUAACAAAUCUUUAUUUUGUUUUGCCCUUUACCAUAUCGGAUCGAGCAAAAUGAAUCAAUCCAAUAAAAUCAAAAAAUAAACCUUUCGCGGGCGAAUAUUUACUCUUUCAAUAUCUAUUUCAGUUGUAGGGUUAGUUCAUGACCUCUACGAAUAAAAGAAUAGUUUAGUUCCUGGGUUCGUUUCGCCAUCCCACCCAAUAAAUCAUUAAGAUUCAUUUCCAAUAGAAUCUUCUUUUUCUUUAUUCACGGGUUCCGUCGUUCCCAUUGCUUCUCGAUUAAUGGUUAGGUCUGAAUUCUCCAACGGAGCCCUUAAUGAAAUUUUUUCUUAAGUCAAUUUUCUCAGUUUUUAUUGGCUCGGGGCUCUUGAUUUUUUUUGUUCUAUGAGCGGAUUCAUCUAGUUAGGGAUGAAUCAUUAUUGAUGCUAUAUUACACUGUUUUUUAUGAGAUGACUUACAGACCUUACAUAUUGGAAUCUUAUAUCAUUGAUAUUUUCUUUCUCUCUUUCUCUCAUCCUUCCAUUUAUCCGCAUGCUUUUCGAUUUUCUUUCACAACUUCGAACUUCACAACCUACAAUCAGAUUGGGUUUUUAUGUUAUGCAAAUUUCAGUUGCUACAACGAUAUGACCACUAUAUUAUAUCUUGACUGGUUCUUUGGAUUCAGAUAAUACGAAGCAAUGAGUUGGUUAUUAGUGCUAUAGUUAUUAGUUCAUACUACAGGACGGUCCAUUUUUUGGAAUCCUAGCCCUAAAAAAAACCAACGAGUCGCACACUAAGCAUAGCAAUUAUAUAAAAAAAAAAAAAUCAAUCGAAUUUUUAUUCAACCCUAUAGAAUUGCGGAAUUUCUCAUUUUUGUUUUGAUUGAAGAUAAAAAGAGCUCGUUCUUUGUUUGGUUUAUUUCCAUUAAUGGGGGGGCUCUAAAGACCCGUAAACUCUUAUUUUUUUUCGUCUACAAAUAUCCAAAUUUUGAUUCCCAAUACCCCGUAGAUAGUUCGAACCGUAUAGGAACAAUAAUCAAUUUUAGCUCCAAUGGUUUGUAGAGGAACUCUACCUUCUCUGAUCCAUUCGGCGCGCGCAAUUUCUUUUCCGUCAAGACGCCCUGCAAUUUGUACUUGAAUUCCUUUUGUAUCGGCCUGUUCCGUUAAUUCAAUAGCUUUUUUCAUUGCUUUUCGAAAAGAAACUCUAUUUUUUAAUUGUCCGGCUAUAAAUUCGGCAAGAAUAUUGGGGUGUCCAUAAGGAUUUGUAAUUCGUGUAAUAGCAAUGUUUAUUUUUCGAUUCACACAAUUAAGUUCUUUUUGUACAUUCAUCUGUAAUUCUUCAAUUCUUCGCGGUCUAUUUUCUAGUAAUAAUUUUGGGAACCCUAUAUAGAUUAUAACUUGAAUUAGAUCAAUUCUUUUUUGAAUCUCUAUCCGUGCAAUUCCCUCAACACCGGAAGAUAUUCUGAUAUUUUUUUUUAUAUAAUUCUUAAUAAAGUUUCGUAUUUUUUGAUCUUCUUGUAGACCCUCGCAAUAGUUUUUUGGUUUUGCAAACCAAAGAGAAUGAUGACUUUGUGUUGUACCAAGCCGGAAACCUAGUGGAUUUAUUUUUUGUCCCAUAAUCCCCCAUUCCUAUAUGUAUCAUGACAUGUCAUAGUUUUUUUUUUCUUUUUUUUUUAUUUAUUAAUCUAGUGUUUUUUGAGCACUCGAGAUCGAGAUAGUCUCUAUAUUCAUAUUCAGCUAAGGAUAUAUCUUUUAAAACAAUAGUUAUAUGACAAGUGGGUUUUUUGAUCAGAUAACUCCGCCCUCGGGCUCGAGGUUUAAUCUUUUCGCAGUAGGACCCAUAGCUAUUCGCUUUAAUAAUGAAUAAACUUUUCGUUGAAAAGAUUGAAUACAUAUAAAUAAAAAACUAAAAUAAAAAAAAAAAAAAAAAAAAAAAAAAAAAAAAAAAAAAAAAAAAAAAAAAAAAAAAAAAAAAAAAAACUAUGACAUGUCAUGAUACAUAUAGGAAUGGGGGAUUAUGGGACAAAAAAUAAAUCCACUAGGUUUCCGGCUUGGUACAACACAAAGUCAUCAUUCUCUUUGGUUUGCAAAACCAAAAAACUAUUGCGAGGGUCUACAAGAAGAUCAAAAAAUACGAAACUUUAUUAAGAAUUAUAUAAAAAAAAAUAUCAGAAUAUCUUCCGGUGUUGAGGGAAUUGCACGGAUAGAGAUUCAAAAAAGAAUUGAUCUAAUUCAAGUUAUAAUCUAUAUAGGGUUCCCAAAAUUAUUACUAGAAAAUAGACCGCGAAGAAUUGAAGAAUUACAGAUGAAUGUACAAAAAGAACUUAAUUGUGUG